rnacentral:lncRNA from 1 species
GAAGAGAUUAUAGACAUUUAUUUCUGAGAAUGGUAUUUGGUCGAUUAUUCACACAGUUUUUCAACUCAUGAAUUCGACGUUUUAUCAGAGACCAGAUUGUUUUGACCAAUUCUGACAAAUUAUCCAGUUUUACUUCUUCUCGUUUAGUCCAUUCUACGGCAUACUAGUCCUAAAUGGAAUCCAUAAAUAUUUUGAAGAUAUUGUUCCAAUUGAUGUGUUGGGGUUCACUAAACUUAGGACCAUGAGUUAUCGACUUUCGGAGAUGUUCAUGUUGAUCUAUGUUUAGAUCCCUAUUAAAAACAUUGCCAGAGGGGCUGUAAAUAUAAGGUGAAUGGGAACAGGCAUAUGUCAGAGUUUUAUUCAGGUUUUGUUAUAAAUCAAGGUCCUGUAAAGAUUGCUUUAUGUUAAAUACUGCAAUGGUUUUGUUGUAACUGUUUGAUACAAUAGGAACAGACUGAUUUAGAUAAUAAAGUGGAAUUCUACAAUUUUUUUGAAUAAU